rnacentral:rRNA from 1 species
UGGNUUAACUGGGGGCGUGCGGUGGGUACGGGCUGACUUGAGUGCGGUAGGGGAGACUGGAACUCCUGGUGUAGCGGUGGAAUGCGCAGAUAUCAGGAAGAACACCGGUGGCGAAGGCGGGUCUCUGGGCCGUUACUGACGCUGAGGAGCGAAAGCGUGGGGAGCGAACAGGAUUAGAUACCCUGGUAGUCCACGCUGUAAACGUUGGGCACUAGGUGUGGGGGCCACCCGUGGUUUNUGCGCCGUAGCUAACGCUUUAAGUGCCCCGCCUGGGGAGUACGGCCGCAAGGCUAAAACUCAAAGGAAUUGACGGGGGCCCGCACAAGCGGCGGAGCAUGCGGAUUAAUUCGAUGCAACGCGAAGAACCUUACCAAGGCUUGACAUGCACGGCGGCACUGCAGAGAUGUGGAGGCAUUUAGUUGGUCGUGUGCAGGUGGUGCAUGGUUGUCGUCAGCUCGUGUCGUGAGAUGUUGGGUUAAGUCCCGCAACGAGCGCAACCCUUGCCCUAUGUUGCCAGCACGUGAUGGUGGGGACUCGUGGGGGACUGCCGGGGUUAACUCGGAGGAAGGUGGGGAUGACGUCAAAUCAUCAUGCCCCUUAUGUCUUGGGCUUCACGCAUGCUACAAUGGCUGGUACAGAGGGUUGCGAUAUCGUGAGGUGGAGCGAAUCCCUUAAAGCCAGUCUCAGUUCGGAUUGGGGUCUGCAACUCGACCCCAUGAAGGUGGAGUCGCUAGUAAUCGCAGAUCAGCAACGCUGCGGUGAAUACGUUCUCGGGCCUUGUACACACCGCCCGUCACGUCACGAAAGUUGGUAACACCCGAAGCCCA